rnacentral:snRNA from 1 species
GUGCUUGCUUUGGCAACACAUACCCUAAAUUUGGAACGAAGCAGAGAAGGUUAGCAUGGCCCCUGCACAAGGAUGACAUGCAAAUCCGUGAAGCAUUCCAUUAAAAA